ensembl:lncRNA
CAUCCCCAUGAGACUUGUUUAUGUACUUGAUUGAUUUUGAUAAUUCUUGGUGCCUUCUGCAGGGGCAAGCCCUUUGCAUCGAGCGCGUGGAAGGCCAGGAUGUCUGCUACCUAAGUUGCUCUUGCAGUGUCCUGACAGAUGCUGAAGCCUAUGAAGGAGGCUGGAAAUGGCAGGGAAGCCACAGCUUUGUUCUCAUUUAAACCUGAAUGGCCAUUGACUUCUUUUGAAAAAGAAAAAAAUGGUAAGUCUUUCAUUGCCUUUCUCAUAAGCGUGACUUAGAUUUCCUAUUCCUGCUUUUUGAGAUGACCCGAUUGCCUCUGUUUCAGGCUCCGUGGUUCAUUUCUUCAACCUCUAAACCGUUUCAGCUUCCUUUAGGCCAUGGAUAGAAAGCUGGUGAAAAGUCAGCAAAUAUUUUCCAUAAAUAGCUGUUGGAUCCCAAACCUCCACAAACCAACUUUUGAGUUUUUUUCUUUUUAAGGAGAAAUAAGUAGAGAAGUGAGAAUCAGUUUUAAGGAUCUGGUGCCUAGCGAGGUGCUGGCAAGCAGUCUGAGAGCCCCAGAAACUUGUAGAGAACCUGAAACACGGUGCCUGAUGGAGCUCUCCUCUAUUUUUAAUCGAGGAUGGUAUUUGGGAAUUAGCAAUCAGAAAGUAUUUUUCAGCAUGGGAGAGGUAAGAGGGAAGAAUGUGUUAUCCAGUCCAAUUUUGGCAAUUCCAUUUUAGAAUUUUCUUUUAAUUGGAGGAGGAUAUUGUUUGUUUGCUUUUUAAAGAAAAGAAUCACAGUUAUUUUAGGAUGUGUGAUCCUGGAAGAUAUUAUAUUCAGAUCUCUUUAAAAGAAAAGCAUUUAACUUUAUUUUGAGAUUCAAUCUCCACUUGAAGUUUCCUCAUAGUGCAUAAGUUUGUCCAGCGUAUUUCUGUAGUCACUGGGAAGAGUAAAUGACAGUUCGAAAUAGAAGGAUCGGGACAGCUGCAUAUGACAGGCAGGUUGCACACCGCAAAUGCUGUGGGGUGCCAUUGCUGAGACUGCAAUACAAGCAGUAUUCCCUGGACCUGUGAGCUUCAGUGGUCCUGAGAAGGAGACUGGGCUUUCUUCAUGCAAGUAAUGACAGUGAAGAAUCACAGUUGUCAUUGCUACCUCUGCCUACAAUUAUUAGUUGACUGUGUACUUAAGGUUAUUCAGUAAUUUUAUUUUGAGAUCUGGUCUAUGCAUUACCUCUUUAGCUCACUUUAGAGGUAAUAGCAUAGGCAUAGGAAGAACAUCUACUGACCUGGUAGAAAAGAUGCUCUGAUAACAUAUGCAUUGUUUGUUUGGACAAUAAUAAUAUUCCUAGGAGCAAAGGUCAGACUAUGCCUUUGAUCAUUUUCCCAGAUAGUCUUUUAGACACAGCACCACAGCUGGGGCAACCAUGAAGUACAGCUAAUUUUCCAGUAGAGGACAGAACUAUGGUUUGCUAUGCAGAAUAAUCUCAGCCUGCUAUUAUUGUUAUUUUUCUCCCAGUUUUUCUUGUCAUUCCCAUGAUGAUGUAAUAGCUCAGUUCUACCCAAGAGUCACAGAAAAUUAGAUGGAAUUGCUUGGUCUGGUCCUCUGGAUAAACAUCUCUUGCCAUUGUCACUCUGAUGGUCCCCUCUUAGCCCGGUCACCUGAACUCUCCAUAUGAUUCUGGAAUCUGGGUGUCUCUUGGACUCUCAGUGAAGUUCCUCUGGAGGAAAGACCAUCCUCUCAGUCCAUAGACAAGCCAGGAUAGCAUAGGUGUGAAGAGUGCUGGGUUUUCAGGAAGCAGGAGAAAGAUCACCAGGCUGAGGAGCUUUUCCAGGUCCUUUCUGAAAGCAGAUUUGCUAGAUUCUCAUGCCAGUUCAAACUGAGUGUUUAAGGACCUUUCCUCAUAUACUGAAUAUUAUAAAUCUCUGUAGUAUUCAGGGGAGUGGACAAGAGCAUAAUGUA